UUCGGAAGUGACAGAAAAACAGACUCACGCUGCUACAGCAGGACUCCAGCCUCUUUGUCAUUGGACCACGCUUUGUUGGGGACAAACUGAACGCUCUUGCUUCACACCUAGACAGGCGGUACUGUCACUCCUAACGUUGAAAGCUGCUAAACCCCUUCUGGAUUCAGUAUGAGACCCUCGAGUCUACUUAAAGUAGUGUUCGCUCUUCUCUUUGCUACUGCAGUUGCUACGUCACAUAGAAAUCUUGAUACCUGUGUAACCAUGGAUGAGGUGAUGGGGACACUGUUCAAUCGGCUGUUUCCUUUGGUCCCCCAAAAGUACUUCUAUAUCUGUAAGAACACCCAUCAAGGAAAUGGUAUGAUGAGGGAUGAGGGGAUCGAGACUGCACAGUCGACUAAAGACCCACAUCUGUUCGGGAAAAAGUCGACUUCCAACUUAUGGCACCUUCACGAGAAACACCGAAAAAGAGGCUCCGACUGUAUGAGAAAAUGUAUAGCGCAAGGAGUCCUCCACCCUGUCCAGUGCCAUUCUUUGUGCUAACGAUGCUUUCCGACGGUAAACCAAAUGGAUGUAGUAUAUAUCUUAAGUAAAAGUCUGGUAUAGAACGACGAAGGGAGUUCAUCCUCAAGAUUUGUUGAAUAUCUUCUUUAAUUUCAUCCGUAAAAAAAUGUUUUUUUUUCCGGAAUGGAUAUAAUUAAAUAUGAUGUGUAGAUAUGUUAUUAACAUGAUAUAUUUAUUUCUCUAUUUAAGAGGUUAUUAUAAUGUAGUGGACACAUUUUGUUUUAUUGUUGAUAUUUAACAAAAUUAAAACCGACUCAUAUUACUUAAGAAAAUUUCCAAUUUCCCACCUUGCAGCUUUUUGUUAUGAGUUAAGCCUUUAUGAGCUAAAAAAUAA